ACCAAAACAUAAUUGAAAGAGGAAAUAAAGAGAGAUUAGAAAAAAAUGGCCCUUAAAGGAAGCCAAAGAACGACACCUUUAAAUUAGUAGAGCGCUUUUCUUUGAUAUUGAAUCAAUAGGCUCCCAAAGGAUUUACAGCAAUGUUCGUUCAGAAAUCACCAAACACGAGUUCGCAUAGCUUCAAUUAAAGAUGCCGACACCAGAUCCAAUGAGUUGCUUAAGAUCCCAUCCAUCUUUCCUUGUACCCUCACUUUAUCCAUUUUCCUUCUAUCUAAAUUGGUUUAAGAUUUGUAGCUUUAUUAUGGAUUUGGGUAUAGAGAGGAAACGAAGGAAUUCUUCUGCUCCUUCCUUCUUUGAGAAGUGGGUGCUUAAGGAUUGAAUGAAACCAAGUUGCUUUCGGGGUUCUCUGAUGAGUGUCCCG
rnacentral:lncRNA from 1 species